rnacentral:rRNA from 1 species
UACGAAGGGGGCUAGCGUUGCUCGGAAUCACUGGGCGUAAAGCGCACGUAGGCGGAUCUUUAAGUCAGGGGUGAAAUCCUGGAGCUCAACUCCAGAACUGCCUUUGAUACUGGGGAUCUCGAGUCCGGAAGAGGUGAGUGGAACUCCGAGUGUAGAGGUGAAAUUCGUAGAUAUUCGGAAGAACACCAGUGGCGAAGGCGGCUCACUGGUCCGGUACUGGACGCUGAGACGCGAAAAGCGUGGGGGAGCGAACGAGGA